rnacentral:rRNA from 1 species
UACGUAGGGGGCAAGCGUUGUCCGGAAUCAUUGGGCGUAAAGCGCGCGUAGGCGGCCCGGUAAGUCCGCUGUAAAAUGUCCAGGGCUCAACCCUGGAAAGCCGGUGGAUACUGUCGGGCUAGAGUCCGGAAGAGGCGAGUGGAAUUCCUGGUGUAGCGGUGAAAUGCGCAGAUAUCAGGAGGAACACCGGUGGCGAAGGCGGGUCUCUGGGCCGAUACUGACGCUGAGGAGCGAAAGCGUGGGGAGCGAACAGG